UAUUGCACAAUGGGGGAAACCCUGAUGCAGCGACGCCGCGUGAGUGAAGAAGUAUUUCGGUAUGUAAAGCUCUAUCAGCAGGGAAGAAAAUGACAGUACCUGACCAAGAAGCCCCGGCUAACUACGUGCCAGCAGCCGCGGUAAUACGUAGGGGGCAAGCGUUAUCCGGAUUCACUGGGUGUAAAGGGAGCGUAGACGGCGAGACAAGUCUGGGGUGAAAGGCCGGGGCCCAACCCCGGGACUGCUCUUGGAACUGCGCGGCUGGAGUGCAGGAGGGGCAGGCGGAAUUCCUGGUGUAGCGGUGAAAUGCGUAGAUAUCAGGAGGAACACCGGUGGCGAAGGCGGCCUGCUGGACUGCGACUGACGUUGAGGCCCGAAAGCGUGGGGAGCAAACAGG
rnacentral:rRNA from 1 species